rnacentral:rRNA from 1 species
AACACGUGGGUGAUCUGCCCUGCACUUUGGGAUAAGCCUGGGAAACUGGGUCUAAUACCGAAUAGGACCGCGCUCUUCAUGGGGUGUGGUGGAAAGCUUUUGCGGUGUGGGAUGGGCCCGCGGCCUAUCAGCUUGUUGGUGGGGUAAUGGCCUACCAAGGCGACGACGGGUAGCCGGCCUGAGAGGGUGACCGGCCACACUGGGACUGAGAUACGGCCCAGACUNCUACGGGAGGCAGCAGUGGGGAAUAUUGCACAAUGGGCGCAAGCCUGAUGCAGCGACGCCGCGUGAGGGAUGACGGCCUUCGGGUUGUAAACCUCUUUCAAUAGGGACGAAGCGCAAGUGACGGUACCUAUAGAAGAAGGACCGGCCAACUACGUGCCAGCAGCCGCGNUAAUACGUAGGGUCCGAGCGUUGUNNNNNGGGAGUACGGCNGCAAGGCUAAAACUCAAAGGAAUUGACGGGGGNCCGCACAAGCGGCGGAGCAUGUGGAUUAAUUCGAUGCAACGCGAAGAACCUUACCUGGGUUUGACAUGCACAGGACGCCAGUAGAGAUAUUGGUUCCCUUGUGGCCUGUGUGCAGGUGGUGCAUGGCUGUCGUCAGCUCGUGUCGUGAGAUGUUGGGUUAAGUCCCGCAACGAGCGCAACCCUUGUCUCAUGUUGCCAGCACGUAAUGGUGGGGACUCGUGAGAGACUGCCGGGGUCAACUCGGAGGAAGGUGGGGAUGACGUCAAGUCAUCAUGCCCCUUAUGUCCAGGGCUUCACACAUGCUACAAUGGCCGGUACAAAGGGCUGCGAUGCCGUGAGGUGGAGCGAAUCCUUUCAAAGCCGGUCUCAGUUCGGAUCGGGGUCUGCAACUCGACCCCGUGAAGUCGGAGUCGCUAG